ACCUAUAUUUCUUAAUGCGCCAUGUGUUUUGCAUCAAUAAUAGCGAUCGAUUUUUUUUCUGUUGUAAGUAGCUAUUUUUAUGUAUUUAUAUAAAAUCAAUGAAUAAGAUAUUUUCGUUUUUUUAUAGAAAAGUUUCAAGGAUUUUCUAUUAUGCAAUUUUUUAAAUUUCAGAAAAUUGUUAAAUUAAAACAUUUAAUUUGAACUUGUUUGAAAAGCUUCAUAAAAGAUUAAAUAAUCAAAUUGUUCAAUAUUACGUGUGCAAACAUCAGACCAAGUAGUUAUUAACUUGGUGUAAAUAUUGAGUUUGUUUAUUGUAGCGGCGUUUAAAGAACCUCGCUCUUUUCAUGUCUAUUUCUUUUUUCAGCAAAAUUUAUGCCACAGUUAUAGCUUUCAUGAAAAAUGCAAACUUUUCUAUUCAUAAAUUUUAAAUAAGUAUAAAAAUAUUCCUAUUUUGAUUUAAUAUUGUAAUUUAUCUGUAACAUUUUUUUUUUGUUUAAUUUGAUGACUAAAAAAUGUCUAUGUGCAAUUUUCCCACUUUAAUUGCGUAAUUUGUUGACGGUUUCAAAGUUUUAUUUUUUUUUUAAUGAUUAAACAACAUAAUUUAACGUUUUUUAACUAUGUUUAAUGUACCUAAAUCCAUACAUUAUUACAAUAUUACUGAAAUCGUAGUUGAAUGUUCAAUUAAAAAAAAAAACAAAUCAAUUGGUUAUUAAACAGUCUCUUUGCUUUUCAUCCUUUUUUUUUCUUUCUUUUUUUGGCUGUUGUUCCUUCUCUUUCAUCAUACACCAGUCAAAAAAAAGGAGAAGCAUAAUUACACUCUAUACAGAUUGUACGUAGUACGAUCCGAAAGUUCGGGGACAAGCUGUAUAAAACCUUACCCAGAAUUGUUUACAUUACCGAUGCACAUCCACCUUCAAAAGGUCACCUUGAAAGACUAUGUACUUCCGCCAGUGUUUAUAUAACUUUUGGGAACACGCCUGGAAGCCAUUUUUUCCUACCUUCUAUGAUGCAGCUUUAUCUUCUCCUGGCGGAAGAAAGCGGCGUCCAUGCAAAUGUUUUUUUGCUGGUAAAAGUCACAUGGAGCUAACUCCGACGAAACGUUAUUUUAUUUGUUUGUCAUAUCAGAGUAUUAACCAAUCAAACCGUGCAUUCUCACCAUGAAAAUUGCCUUCUUUCCCACGAUGAAGUUAAAGCAGCGGCGCAAGAGGCCUUACAGGAGGUUGCGAAAAAUGUCUUCCAGGAGUGGUUAAAAAAGCUACAUGAACGUUGGCAGAAGUGCAUAGUCGUUCAAGCUGACUAUUUUGUAGAUAGAUGUGCUUCGGUAAUGUGAACUAUUCAGGAAUUUGAUCAUUCUUUGUCUAUCUCAAAGCGGUUUGGAACGAAUUUUUCUCAACCAGGUCGAAAAUCGCUGCCAAGCCCCAUUUUACUUCAAAUCAGCUCAAUCCUUGCUUUUACCGUAUCAUCACUGUAAAGACCUACGGGAUUCUUUAAGACCAAUGAAUCUACUUCUAAGUACAUGAAUAUUAUGCACUAAUAUACUUUGAAUGUGGACUGAAUACAUCUUUAACGUUUCAAGCCAUUUAAAUACUAA